AAUUUAAAGUCUAAUCUGCCCACUGAUAAUUAUAUUAAAGGGCUGCAGUAUAUUGACUGUACAAAGGUAGCAUAAUCAUUAGUCUUUUAAUUGAAGACUUGUAUGAAAGAUUUGAUGAAAUAUAGACUGUCUCUAAUAUAAAUAUAAAAUUUAAUUUUUUAGUUAAAAAGCUAAAAUAAAUUUAAAAGACGAGAAGACCCUAUAGAGUUUUAUAUUAAAAUUAUUUAAGAUUAUAUAUAUAAAUAAAUAUUAAAAGUAAAAUUAAUAUUUUAUUGGGGUGAUAAAAAAAUUAAUAUAACUUUUUUUAAAAUUAAAACAUAAAUAAGUGGUUAGUUGAUCCAUUUUUAUGAUUAAAAGAAAAAAUUACCUUAGGGAUAACAGCGUAAUAUUUUUUUUUAGUACAAAUAAGAAAAAAAGUUUGCGACCUCGAUGUUGGAUUAAGAUAAAAUUUAAAUGCAAAAGUUUAAAAUUUUGAUCUGUUCGAUCAUUAAAAUCUUACAUG
rnacentral:rRNA from 1 species